GCCCCCGUAGCUCAGUGGAUAGAGCGUUAGCCUCCGGAGCUAAAAGCCUGAGUUCGAGUCUCAGCGGGGGUA
rfam:Anaerolineaceae bacterium 4572_5.1 ex4572_5.1_scaffold_13891, whole genome shotgun sequence.